CAAAUAGCUCAAUUGGUAGAGAAUGAGACUCUAAAUCCCAGAGUUGUGGGUUCGAGUCCCACCCUGGGUGAAAGA